rnacentral:rRNA from 1 species
AGCGAACGCUGGCGGCAGGCCUAACACAUGCAAGUCGAACGAACUCUUCGGAGUUAGUGGCGGACGGGUGAGUAACACGUGGGAACGUGCCUUUAGGUUCGGAAUAACUCAGGGAAACUUGUGCUAAUACCGAAUGUGCCCUUCGGGGGAAAGAUUUAUCGCCUUUAGAGCGGCCCGCGUCUGAUUAGCUAGUUGGUGAGGUAAAGACUCAUCAAGGCGACGAUCAGUAGCUGGUCUGAGAGGAUGAUCAGCCACAUUGGGACUGAGACACGGCCCAAACUCCUACGGGAGGCAGCAGUGGGGAAUCUUGCGCAAUGGGCGAAAGCCUGACGCAGCCAUGCCGCGUGAAUGAUGAAGGUCUUAGGAUUGUAAAAUUCUUCCACCGGGGACGAUAAUGACGGUACCCGGAGAAGAAGCCCCGGCUAACUUCGUGCCAGCAGCCGCGGUAA